CUCUUAUGAAGUUAGCGGCGGACGGGUGAGUAACACGUGGGUAACCUGCCCAUAAGACUGGGAUAACUCCGGGAAACCGGGGCUAAUACCGGAUAACAUUUUGAACCGCAUGGUUCGAAAUUGAAAGGCGGCUUCGGCUGUCACUUAUGGAUGGACCCGCGUCGCAUUAGCUAGUUGGUGAGGUAACGGCUCACCAAGGCAACGAUGCGUAGCCCGACCUGAGAGGGUGAUCGGCCACACUGGGACUGAGACACGGCCCAGACUCCUACGGGAGGCAGCAGUAGGGAAUCUUCCGCAAUGGACGAAAGUCUGACGGAGCAACGCCGCGUGAGUGAUGAAGGCUUUCGGGUCGUAAAACUCUGUUGUUAGGGAAGAACAAGUGCUAGUUGAAUAAGCUGGCACCUUGACGGUACCUAACCAGAAAGCCACGGCUAACUACGUGCCAGCAGCCGCGGUAAUACGUAGGUGGCAAGCGUUAUCCGGAAUUAUUGGGCGUAAAGCGCGCGCAGGUGGUUUCUUAAGUCUGAUGUGGAAAGCCCACGGCUCAACCGUGGAGGGUCAUUGGAUACUGGGAGACUUGAGUGCAGAAGAGGAAAGUGGGAUUCCAUGUGUAGCGGUGCAAUGCGUAGAGAUAUGGAGGCACACCAGUGGCGAAGGCGACUUUCUGGUCUGUCACUGACACUGACGCGCGAAAUGCGUGGGGAGCUAGUACAGGAUUAGAUACCCUGGUAGUCCACGCCGUAAACGAUGAGUGCUAAGUGUUAGAGGGUUUCCGCCCUUUAGUGCUGAAGUUGACGCAUUAAGCACUCCGCCUGGGGAGUACGGCCGCAAGGCUGAAACUCAAAGGAAUUGACGGGGGCCCGCACAAGCGGUGGAGCAUGUGGUUUAAUUCGAAGCCACGCGAAGAACCUUACCAGGUCAUUGACAUCCUCUGACAACCCUAGAGAUAGGGCUUCUCCUUCGGUGAGCAGAAGUGACAUGGUGGUGCAUGGUUGUCGUC
rnacentral:rRNA from 1 species